CCUACGGGUGGCAGCAGUGAGGAAUAUUGGUCAAUGGUCGGGAGACUGAACCAGCCAAGCCGCGUGAGGGAUGAAGGUACAGAGUAUCGUAAACCUCUUUUGUCAGGGAACAAAGGCGGGGACGUGUCCCCGGAUGAGUGUACCUGAAGAAAAAGCAUCGGCUAACUCCGUGCCAGCAGCCGCGGUAAUACGGAGGAUGCGAGCGUUAUCCGGAUUUAUUGGGUUUAAAGGGUUCGCAGGCGGGCUAUUAAGUCAGCGGUAAAAGCCCGGGGCACAACCCCGGCCCGCCGUUGAAACUGGGAGCCUCGAGUGGGCGAGAAGAAGGCGGAAUGCGUGGUGUAGCGGUGAAAUGCAUAGAUAUCGCGCAGAACCCCGAUUGCGAAGGCAGCAUUCCGGCGCCCUACUGACGCUGAGGCACGAAAGUGCGGGGAUCGAACAGGAUUAGAUACCCCUGUAGUC
rnacentral:rRNA from 1 species